CUUAACGCCCUGAAGUGCAAUAUAUUGCUACACAAGUUAUUAAAUUUAGCACGAUUUGAAAACUUACCCCCUAGCUCAAUAAUGUAAACAUUUAUAGCAGCAAAAAUCGAAUAAAUUUCCAGCGGUAUUUUUUCGAAUUGCGGGUAGGGUGUGUCUAUUAGAAAACAGAAUACCCUUGUCAAAAAGAAGAUACAGGCGUAAACCCAAAAACAUGCGCCGCAAUAUAUCGCCAUUCGUUUUAAAAUAUUUAAAAAAUUUCGAAACAAUGCUAAAAAAUUAGUAUUGAUAUUAUGGUGUUUAACUUACCUAGGUAGAUUAGCCCUCUGGCAAUCAUCAAAACUCCAAACAAACACCACAGGAAGAUUUGUGCCGAAACUGUUGCUUCAAACCCGUAUUCCUUUGAAACAUAUUCAAUUAAAUCAAGAAAGGCUAGCAAGUAGACUCCGUAUCCAAGUAAGGAAAUGACAAAUAUUUUUGAACGGCGUGUCUGAGGUUUUGAGUUGCUGUUUGUGAUUGUCGCCUGAUUUCUAUUUCGAAGAUUAUAAUGUUCCUGUUGAGUAGUCUUCGGUUUUUGCUUGUCAUCUUGAGUUUCCUGUCGAUCAAAUGAUGAUUCCUCUUGAUUGCUCGAAGUCUCCUGUUGAUUAGCUUGUGGUUCCUGGGGUACAGCUUUUUGACCAGCCUGUGGCUCCUGUUGGGUGACCUUUGAAUAAGCUUGAGGGUUUUCUUGAACAGUCUCCAAUUUUUUCCCAGCAUUCUGAAGCUCCUCCUCUUGAACUGUCGAAGUUUUCUUUUUGUCCGUUUGUGAUUCCCCUUGAGUAAUGAAAGCUUCAUAUUGAGAGUCUAAUUGAGGAUUUCGAGGAUCCUCCUGGUCAGUUGGAAAGUUCGCUUGACCAGUGUGAGAUUCCUGUUGAUCACUUUCAAAGCUUUGCAUUCUUCCCAUUUCAAUUGAAUCAAUUCCCAUCUCCAGGUCGCAUGGUUUUUCUUUUGACUUUGUAAGAAUGAAUGAUUUGAUUACUUCCUUCAAGUUAUACAUUCUAUGUCUCUGUUCAUGCUUCACAAGUGGACUUGACGAUCUAGAAGAUCUAUUCUGUUCAUCUUCAUUUUCGUCAUUGACAUUUUCCGGACACGGAUCCUCUAGUAAGGUCUUCUGAAUAUUUCCAGAUUCUGAACCAUCUUCCUCCAUUUCUUCUUGCACGUUGAAAAUGGUUUCAUUUUCCAAAACGUAAAAAGACGACAAUGAUGUUGAUGAUGUAUUCUCGUUAAGCAUUUCUCCCAUUUCUUCAACUUAUCUCUAUCUUAUUAAUUAUUGUUAAUAUUGAAGCAGUAAAUCUGUUUUCAACAGUCAGAUAAUUUAUAAUUGGGGAACCGAAAAAUGAAGACUUCUAAAUAAAAACAAAUAGCAGCAGUACAAUUAAAGCCAAGCGAUUAUAUUGGAUUUCUAAAAAAAAUAGAAACACCUUGUAACCAACA